rnacentral:rRNA from 1 species
AUGGCUGCUGCUCCUGCUACUCAACCUCGUGUCAUGGUGUUACCCUUCCCUGCACAGGGCCAUGUCAUCCCGCUAAUGGAGCUGUCUCGCAAGCUCGCCGGGCACGGCGUCGAGGUGGACUUCGUGAACACCGAGUUCAACCACGACCUCGUCAUGGAAGCAAUGGCAGAGAAGGGAGCAAUUCCUGAUGGGAUCCACAUGCUCACCGUUCCGGACGGCCUGGGCCCCGGAGACGACCACGCGGACAUCGGCAAGUUUGUCAAGGACCUGCCCGCCGCCAUGUCCGGCCGCCUGGAGGAGAUGAUCCGGUCGAGGAAGAUCAAGUGGGUGAUCGUGGAUGUGUCCAUGAGCUGGGCACUGCAGGUGGCCACCACGGCGGGUGCCCGUGUUGCCUCGUUCUCGACCUACUCCGCGGCCGUGUUUGCUCUCAGGAUGAACCUCCCCAAAUUGAUACAGGACGGUGUUCUUGAUGAAAGUGGGGAUGUGAAGGGGCAGGAGCAGAUCAAGAUGAUGCCGCCCAUCGACGCGUCGGAGAUCCCCUGGGUCAGCCUGGCCAGCACCAGCGCCCCUGAGAGGCGCAGAAACAACAUCGAGAACGUCCUCAAGACCAACCUGUCGAUGCCACUCGCCGAGGUGGUCAUCCUCAACACUUCCUUGGAGUUGGAACCCGACGCUCUGGCCCUCCUCCCCAACGCGCUGCCUCUCGGCCCGCUAGUGGCGCCCACGUCGAGGCCAGCCGGACACUUCUUGCCCGAGGACCUCGCCAGCCUCGCUUGGCUCGACGCGCAGCCCGCCGGCUCCGUCGUCUACGUGGCCUUCGGCAGCUCCGGCUUCCUGGACGCAACGCAGUUCCAAGAGCUCGCCGACGGGCUCGCGCUCUCCGGCCGGCCGUUCCUGUGGGUGGUCCGGCCAGACUUCACCAUCGGAGCAGGGCAGGAUCAGUUCGACCUCGACGCGUUCAGGCGCCGCGUAGAGGGGAAGGGGCUGGUGGUGGGCUGGGCGCCGCAGCAGCGCGUGCUGUCGCACCCGGCGGUGGCCUGCUUCAUGUCGCACUGCGGGUGGAACUCGACCGUGGAGGGCGUGCUGCACGGCGUGCCGUUCCUGUGCUGGCCCUACUUCGCGGACCAGUUCUGCAACCAGAGCUACGUGUGCAACGUGUGGGGCACCGGCGCCAAGCUCCGGCGAGACGAGAGAGGGGUCGUCGCGAAGGACGAGGUCCAGAGCAAGGUCGCGUGGCUGCUGGGUGACGAGGGGGUCAAGGCGAGGGCGGUGGCGUGGAAGGAGGCCGCGUGUGGCAGCAUCCGGGAAGGAGGGUCCUCGCAUGGGAACUUGCUCAAGCUUGUCAGCUUGCUAAGAGCAAGUAUAAUAGCGCCUAGUCAGCUGGCUACAAGCCGUUCCAUCUCAGACAAAGUCUAG